rnacentral:rRNA from 1 species
GGGUUGUGAGGUUAAGCGACUAAGCGUACACGGUGGAUGCCCUGGCAGUCAGAGGCGAUGAAGGGCGUGCUAAUCUGCGAUAAGCGCCGGUAAGGUGAUAUGAACCGUUAUAACCGGCGAUACCCGAAUGGGGAAACCCAGUGUGAUUCGUCACACUAUCAUUAACUGAAUCCAUAGGUUAAUGAGGCGAACCGGGGGAACUGAAACAUCUAAGUACCCCGAGGAAAAGAAAUCAACCGAGAUUCCCCCAGUAGCGGCGAGCGAACGGGGAGGAGCCCAGAGCCUGAAUCAGCAUGUGUGUUAGUGGAAGCGUCUGGAAAGGCGCGCGAUACAGGGUGACAGCCCCGUACACAAAAGCGCAUGUGCUGUGAGCUCGAUGAGUAGGGCGGGACACGUGGUAUCCUGUCUGAAUAUGGGGGGACCAUCCUCCAAGGCUAAAUACUCCUGACUGACCGAUAGUGAACCAGUACCGUGAGGGAAAGGCGAAAAGAACCCCGGCGAGGGGAGUGAAAAAGAACCUGAAACCGUGUACGUACAAGCAGUGGGAGCACCCUUUGGGGUGUGACUGCGUACCUUUUGUAUAAUGGGUCAGCGACUUAUAUUCUGUAGCAAGGUUAACCGUAUAGGGGAGCCGGAGGGAAACCGAGUCUUAAUUGGGCGUUAAGUUGCAGGGUAUAGACCCGAAACCCGGUGAUCUAGCCAUGGGCAGGUUGAAGGUUGGGUAACACUAACUGGAGGACCGAACCGACUAAUGUUGAAAAAUUAGCGGAUGACCUGUGGCUGGGGGUGAAAGGCCAAUCAAACCGGGAGAUAGCUGGUUCUCCCCGAAAGCUAUUUAGGUAGCGCCUCGUGAAUUCAUCUCCGGGGGUAGAGCACUGUUUCGGCUAGGGGGCCAUCCCGGCUUACCAACCCGAUGCAAACUGCGAAUACCGGAGAAUGUUAUCACGGGAGACACACGGCGGGUGCUAACGUCCGUCGUGAAGAGGGAAACAACCCAGACCGCCAGCUAAGGUCCCAAAGUCAUGGUUAAGUGGGAAACGAUGUGGGAAGGCCCAGACAGCCAGGAUGUUGGCUUAGAAGCAGCCAUCAUUUAAAGAAAGCGUAAUAGCUCACUGGUCGAGUCGGCCUGCGCGGAAGAUGUAACGGGGCUAAACCAUGCACCGAAGCUGCGGCAGCGACACUGUGUGUUGUUGGGUAGGGGAGCGUUCUGUAAGCCUGUGAAGGUGUGUCGUGAGGCAUGCUGGAGGUAUCAGAAGUGCGAAUGCUGACAUAAGUAACGAUAAAGCGGGUGAAAAGCCCGCUCGCCGGAAGACCAAGGGUUCCUGUCCAACGUUAAUCGGGGCAGGGUGAGUCGACCCCUAAGGCGAGGCCGAAAGGCGUAGUCGAUGGGAAACGGGUUAAUAUUCCCGUACUUGGUGUUACUGCGAAGGGGGGACGGAGAAGGCUAUGUUGGCCGGGCGACGGUUGUCCCGGUUUAAGCGUGUAGGCUGGUUUUCCAGGCAAAUCCGGAAAAUCAAGGCUGAGGCGUGACGACGAGGCACUACGGUGCUGAAGCAACAAAUGCCCUGCUUCCAGGAAAAGCCUCUAAGCAUCAGGUAACACGAAAUCGUACCCCAAACCGACACAGGUGGUCAGGUAGAGAAUACCAAGGCGCUUGAGAGAACUCGGGUGAAGGAACUAGGCAAAAUGGUGCCGUAACUUCGGGAGAAGGCACGCUGACACGUAGGUGAAGUGAUUUACUCAUGGAGCUGAAGUCAGUCGAAGAUACCAGCUGGCUGCAACUGUUUAUUAAAAACACAGCACUGUGCAAACACGAAAGUGGACGUAUACGGUGUGACGCCUGCCCGGUGCCGGAAGGUUAAUUGAUGGGGUCAGCGCAAGCGAAGCUCCUGAUCGAAGCCCCGGUAAACGGCGGCCGUAACUAUAACGGUCCUAAGGUAGCGAAAUUCCUUGUCGGGUAAGUUCCGACCUGCACGAAUGGCGUAAUGAUGGCCAGGCUGUCUCCACCCGAGACUCAGUGAAAUUGAACUCGCUGUGAAGAUGCAGUGUACCCGCGGCAAGACGGAAAGACCCCGUGAACCUUUACUAUAGCUUGACACUGAACAUUGAGCCUUGAUGUGUAGGAUAGGUGGGAGGCUUUGAAGCGUGGACGCCAGUCUGCGUGGAGCCGACCUUGAAAUACCACCCUUUAAUGUUUGAUGUUCUAACGUGGACCCGUAAUCCGGGUUGCGGACAGUGUCUGGUGGGUAGUUUGACUGGGGCGGUCUCCUCCUAAAGAGUAACGGAGGAGCACGAAGGUUGGCUAAUCCUGGUCGGACAUCAGGAGGUUAGUGCAAUGGCAUAAGCCAGCUUGACUGCGAGCGUGACGGCGCGAGCAGGUGCGAAAGCAGGUCAUAGUGAUCCGGUGGUUCUGAAUGGAAGGGCCAUCGCUCAACGGAUAAAAGGUACUCCGGGGAUAACAGGCUGAUACCGCCCAAGAGUUCAUAUCGACGGCGGUGUUUGGCACCUCGAUGUCGGCUCAUCACAUCCUGGGGCUGAAGUAGGUCCCAAGGGUAUGGCUGUUCGCCAUUUAAAGUGGUACGCGAGCUGGGUUUAGAACGUCGUGAGACAGUUCGGUCCCUAUCUGCCGUGGGCGCUGGAGAACUGAGGGGGGCUGCUCCUAGUACGAGAGGACCGGAGUGGACGCAUCACUGGUGUUCGGGUUGUCAUGCCAAUGGCACUGCCCGGUAGCUAAAUGCGGAAGAGAUAAGUGCUGAAAGCAUCUAAGCACGAAACUUGCCCCGAGAUGAGUUCUCCCUGAGACUUAAAGUCUCCUGAAGGAACGUUGAAGACGACGACGUUGAUAGGCCGGGUGUGUAAGCGCAGCGAUGCGUUGAGCUAACCGGUACUAAUGAACCGUGAGGCUUAACCUUACAACGCCGAAG